rnacentral:rRNA from 1 species
UGGGGAAUUUUCCGCAAUGGGCGAAAGCCUGACGGAGCAAUACCGCGUGAGGGAGGAAGGCUUUUGGGUUGUAAACCUCUUUUCUUAGGGCAGAAGAAAGUGACGGUACCUAAGGAAUCAGCAUCGGCUAACUCCGUGCCAGCAGCCGCGGUAAUACAGAGGGGGCAAGCGUUGUCCGGACUUACUGGGCGUAAAGCGCACGCAGGUGGUAACGCAAGUGGGGUGUGAAAGCCGCCAGCUCAACUGGCGGAGGCCAUCCCAAACUGCGUCACUUGAGGCCUGUAGAGGUAUGCGGAAUUGCCGGUGUAGUGGUGAAAUGCGUAGAGAUCGGCAGGAACACCCAGGGGGAAACCAGCAUACUGGACAGGUCCUGACACUCAGGUGCGACAGCGUGGGGAGCAAACAGGAUUAGAUACCCCCGUAGUCC